rnacentral:rRNA from 1 species
AGUGAACGCUGGCGGUAGGCCUAACACAUGCAAGUCGAACGGCAGCACAGUAAGAGCUUGCUCUUACGGGUGGCGAGUGGCGGACGGGUGAGGAAUACAUCGGAAUCUACUUUUUCGUGGGGGAUAACGUAGGGAAACUUACGCUAAUACCGCAUACGACCUACGGGUGAAAGCAGGGGAUCUUCGGACCUUGCGCGAUUGAAUGAGCCGAUGUCGGAUUAGCUAGUUGGCGGGGUAAAGGCCCACCAAGGCGACGAUCCGUAGCUGGUCUGAGAGGAUGAUCGGCCACACUGGAGCUGAGACACGGUCCAGACUCCUACGGGAGGCAGCAGUGGGGAAUAGUGGACAAUGGGCGCAAGCCUGAUACAGCCAUACCGCGUGGGUGAAGAAGGCCUUCGGGUUGUAAAGCCCUUUUGUUGGGAAAGAAAAGCAGCAGGUUAAUACCCCGCUGUUCUGACGGUACCCAAAGAAUAAGCACCGGCUAACUUCGUG